CCUACGGGGGGCAGCAGUGGGGAAUAUUGCGCAAUGGGGGAAACCCUGACGUAGCAACGCCGCGUGAGUGAGGAAGUAUCUCGGUAUGUAAAGCUCUAUCAGCGGGGAAGAAAGAGGACGGUACCCGACUCAGAAGCCCCGGCUAACUACGUGACAGCAGCCGCGGUAAUACGUAGGGGGCAAGCGUUAUCCGGGUUUACUGGGUGUAAAGGGAGCGUAGACGGCUAAUCAAGUCAGACGUGAAAAACGAGGGCUCAACCUUGGGACUGCUUUUGAAACUGAGUAGCUAGAGUGCAGGAGAGGUAAGCGGAAUGCCUAGUGUAGCGGUGAAAUGCGUAGAUAUUAGGAGGAACACCAGUGGCGAAGGCGGCUUACUGGACUGUAACUGACGUUGAGGCUCGAAAGCGUGGGGAGCGAACAGGAUUAGAUACCCCAGUAGUC
rnacentral:rRNA from 1 species